rnacentral:rRNA from 1 species
CCUACGGGUGAGCAGCAGUGGGGAAUAUUGGACAAUGGGCGAAAGCCUGAUCCAGCCAUGCCGCGUGUGUGAAGAAGGCCUUCGAGUUGUAAAGCACUUUCAGUGGGGAAGAAAGCCUUGGGGCUAAUACCCUCGAGGAAGGACAUCACCCACAGAAGAAGCACCGGCUAACUCCGUGCCAGCAGCCGCGGUAAUACGGAGGGUGCGAGCGUUAAUCGGAAUUACUGGGCGUAAAGCGCGCGUAGGCGGUCUGAUAAGCCGGUUGUGAAAGCCCCGGGCUCAACCUGGGAACGGCAUCCGGAACUGUCAGGCUAGAGUGCAGGAGAGGAAGGUAGAAUUCCCGGUGUAGCGGUGAAAUGCGUAGAGAUCGGGAGGAAUACCAGUGGCGAAGGCGGCCUUCUGGACUGACACUGACGCUGAGGUGCGAAAGCGUGGGUAGCAAACAGGAUUAGAUACCCUUGUAGUC